GGGUCGUAAUUUUUAUAGACUGUUUCAUCUUUAAUAGUAACUUGCGCCGUGCAUUAAGUCUUUUCCAGAGCGGGAAAAUGAUACUUAACCCUCGCGCAUGCGCCAAAUUUCCGAUAGUGUCCGUCAGGUUUUUAUUAUGUUGUAUCGUCUGCUAUUUUAUUGAAUCGGGGCUUCUCGGUAAUGUACGUAAUAUCACGGAUAUUAACGGAAGUUUCCGAGGCAAUUCAUCCAUGUGUUUGUCCGUGCAGUUUUGUGAACACUUGUCAUGUUUGUCCAAUCGUCUUGUUUGUCUUACAUGAUUGAAUGAGAGAUAGAAUGAGAGAAAGAUAUACAUUGGUCUGUUCUUUUUAUCCUCUUUGCACUUUUCACCGCCAAAAUCCUUCGGCCCUCAGUGCAGUCUUUCUUCUCUUACGAGUAAGAUGGGAAAACAUUAAAGUAGAAUUCAAAUUAUUUUGAAUUUAUCUGAUAAUCCUCAGUUAAUUCACCAGACGCUGUGGCUUUUUAUGUAACGGAAUAAUAAAGAGAGUAGAACCUA